rnacentral:ncRNA from 1 species
UACUUAUCCAGAAAGACUGAGGGAAAGGCCCUGUGAUGUCUUAGCAACCUGUUGAAUAAUAAGGUGCUAAUUCCUGUCCGCCAAAGGCGGAAGAGAUAAGUU